GCUGGCGGCGUGCCUAACACAUGCAAGUCGAACGAGAAAAGGGGAGCAAUCCUCUGAGUAAAGUGGCGACCGGGUGAGUAACACGUGACUAACCUACCCUCGAGUGUGGAAUAACAUCGGGAAACCGAUGCUAAUACCGCAUAACAUCGCAAGAUCAAAGGAGCAAUCCGCUUGAGGAGGGGGUCGCGGCUGAUUAGCUAGUUGGCGGGGUAACGGCCCACCAAGGCGAAGAUCGGUAGCCGGCCUGAGAGGGCGCACGGCCACACUGGAACUGAAACACGGUCCAGACUCCUACGGGAGGCAGCAGUGGGGAAUUUUGCGCAAUGGGGGAAACCCUGACGCAGCAACGCCGCGUGGAGGAUGAAGCCCCUUGGGGCGUAAACUCCUUUCGACCAAGACGAUAAUGACGGUACUGGUGGAAGAAGCACCGGCUAACUCUGUGCCAGCAGCCGCGGUAAUACAGAGGGUGCAAGCGUUGUUCGGAAUUAUUGGGCGUAAAGGGCGCGUAGGCGGCGCGACAAGUCACCUGUGAAAUCCCCGGGC
rnacentral:rRNA from 1 species